CAUGCGUAGCUCGACCUCGAGGGUAUCGCCACAUGGACUGGAACGCAGACUUCUACGAAGCAGCAGUAGGAUCUCCGCAUGGACGAGUCGACGGAGGCACGCCGCGGGAGUGAUGGAGUUUCGAUCGUAAGCUUCUGUUGUUAGGGAAGAACAAGUGCGUCAAAUAGGGCGGCACUGACGUACUUAACCAGAAAGCACGGCUACUACGUGCAGCAGCCGCGGUAAUACGUAGGUGGCAAGCGUGUCCGGAAUUAUUGGGCGUAAAGGGCUCGCAGGCGGUUUCUUAAGUCUGAUGUGAAAGCCCCCGGCUCAACCCGGGGAGGGUCAUUGGAAACUGGGGAACUUGAGUGCAGAAGAGGAGAGUGGAAUUUCCACGUGUAGCGGUGAAAUGCGUAGAGAUGUGGAGGAACACCAGUGGCGAAGGCGACUCUCUGGUCUGUAACUGACGCUGAGGAGCGAAAGCGUGGGGAGCGAACAGGAUUAGAUACCCUGGUAGUCCACGCCGUAAACGAUGAGUGCUAAGUGUUAGGGGGUUUCCGCCCCUUAGUGCUGCAGCUAACGCAUUAAGCACUCCGCCUGGGGAGUACGGUCGCAAGACUGAAACUCAAAGGAAUUGACGGGGGCCCGCACAAGCGGUGGAGCAUGUGGUUUAAUUCGAAGCAACGCGAAGAACCUUACCAGGUCUUGACAUCCUCUGACAAUCCUAGAGAUAGGACGUCCCCUUCGGGGGCAGAGUGACAGGUGGUGCAUGGUUGUCGUCAGCUCGUGUCGUGAGAUGUUGGGUUAAGUCCCGCAACGAGCGCAACCCUUGAUCUUAGUUGCCAGCAUUCAGUUGGGCACUCUAAGGUGACUGCCGGUGACAAACCGGAGGAAGGUGGGGAUGACGUCAAAUCAUCAUGCCCCUUAUGACCUGGGCUACACACGUGCUACAUGGACAGAACAAAGGGCAGCGAAACCGCGAGGUUAAGCCAAUCCCACAAAUCUGUUCUCAGUUCGGAUCGCAGUCUGCAACUCGACUGCGUGAAGCUGGAAUCGCUAGUAAUCGCGGAUCAGCAUGCCGCGGUGAAUACGUUCCCGGGCCUUGUACACACCGCCCGUCACACCACGAGAGUUUGUAACACCCGAAGUCGGUGAGGUAACCUUUAUGGAGCCAGCCGCCGAAGGUGGGACAGAUGAUUGGGGGAAGUCGUAACAACGAGCAUUGU
rnacentral:rRNA from 1 species